rnacentral:lncRNA from 1 species
CUUCACUCCUGAAGUCAGCGAGACCACGAACCCCCCAGGUGGAACGAACAACUCCAGACGCGCCACCUUUAAGAGCUGUAACACUCACUGUGAAGGCCUACGGUUUCACUCCUGAAGUCAGUGAGACCACGAACCCAGACCAACUCCGGACACAUCUGAACAUCUGAAGUUCCCUGGUAUGACUUAGCUGAUAGCUCAUCCUUCACAAGAAUGCUUACAUGAAUGGCACCCGAGUUGGAAG